AGUGAACGCUGGCGGUAGGCCUAACACAUGCAAGUCGAACGGCAGCACAGUAAGAGCUUGCUCUUACGGGUGGCGAGUGGCGGACGGGUGAGGAAUACAUCGGAAUCUACUUUUUCGUGGGGGAUAACGUAGGGAAACUUACGCUAAUACCGCAUACGACCUACGGGUGAAAGCAGGGGAUCUUUGGACCUUGCGCGAUUGAAUGAGCCGAUGUCGGAUUAGCUAGUUGGCGGGGUAAAGGCCCACCAAGGCGACGAUCCGUAGCUGGUCUGAGAGGAUGAUCAGCCACACUGGAACUGAGACACGGUCCAGACUCCUACGGGAGGCAGCAGUGGGGAAUAUUGGACAAUGGGCGCAAGCCUGAUCCAGCCAUACCGCGUGGGUGAAGAAGGCCUUCGGGUUGUAAAGCCCUUUUGUUGGGAAAGAAAAGCAGCAGGUUAAUACCCCGCUGUUCUGACGGUACCCAAAGAAUAAGCACCGGCUAACUUCG
rnacentral:rRNA from 1 species